rnacentral:tRNA from 1 species
GCCCGGCUAGCUCAGUUCGGUAGAGGAUGAGACCUUAACUCAGGGUCAUGGGGUUCGAGCCCCACGUUGGGCA